rnacentral:lncRNA from 1 species
CCCUCCGCAAGUGGUAUCCAUCCUUACGACCAGAGAUGGAGUUCCGAUGUUUCGUACGUGGUCGGUGCCUAGUUGGAAUUUCCCAGCGAGAGGUCACGAUGUGUUAUCCUGCUCUAUCUGAGAAGAAAAAUGAUAUUAAAGUGUUGAUCCAAAAACUUUUUGACAGCAAUGUGAGACAAGAAUUUGAGUCAGAAAAUUACACAUUUGAUGUUUAUGUCACGAAGGAUGAGCGGGUUAAGAUUUUGGAUUUCAAUCCGUGGGGUGCUUUUACCUUGCCUCUGCUUUUUGCCUGGG